CACCCCAAUAUAUUCUGCCAUUGGCCAAAAAUCUUGGACUAAAUCUUCCAUGUUAAUUAAAUAUAUCUGGAUGAAGUUAUAAAGUCAGAUUAGUACUUUCCACUGCUAAAGUUCACCAAUAUAGUAAUUGGAAUAUUUGGUUGCCUGGGAUUUCCUGCUAGAACAUCCAUCUUACUGAAAUCUUUCCUAACACAUGGGAAAACUACUGAUCUAGGUAAGGACAUGGAUUGAUCGUCUCGAACCACUGAAGGGUAGAUGCAUCAAGCCUUGUAAUUCGUAUUUUCUAGCCAUGCUGUAUAAAGGGCUUCAAAAGCAGCUCCCUGUGCCAGGCUGGAGUUCACUUUGCAUGCCUUGCUUUAUUAAACGGGGGAAGCACACCAGCGCUAGAAAUGCCUGGCUGAUAAGCUGAUGCACUUUUUAUCUCCUCUGGAGCCUGACUGACAUCUUUGAACACUGUUGUAUCUAAACAGCUUGAAUAUGUGACCUCAUUCCUUAAAUACCAUCACUUGAACAGCUCUUGUUGCUAAAAUAAAAGCAGCGUUGCUUCUCUGUUGUGAAAACUCCUCCAGACCCUCUGACAAGCACAAACCAAACCACACCUUCUUUUACUAUGAUAAAAAAUGACAACUUAUUUGUACCAAUUACAGUGUACCUGUAGCAGCAAUUACAGUGGAGGCAUCGCUUGUGGCUUUCAUCAUACUCACUUCAUGUCAAAGAAGGCUCUGGAAUAAGACUAGGAAACAGAACCUGAGGAGAAUGAUACCAGAAAGGAGAAUGAUUGUAGCGCAGUCAAGUUGCUGGUGAGGUGGGCACAUCUGUAUAACUGCUGGUAGCGGGAAGACUCAGAUGGGCCUGCCUGGCACUCAGAAAGUGUGGGUUACCAGCACCUGGUUCAGCAGCGCUUCCAGCUGAUGUGUUUGCCCUGUCAGCAGAGUUGUCAGAGAAAUCUGAUGGAAGAAGAAAGAAAAGACAAGCCCAUCUUGGCAGGAGAUCCAUCUUUCAAAUCCAAGGAAAUCCCAAACAUCUGCAAGAGAAAUCAGCUCGCCAAUAGUGAAAAAUAAAGGAUACAUUGCUUCAAAGAAGAAGUUCAGAACAACUAUUGAAUACCUGUACAAACUUUAAGCUAUGAGAAAGGCUAAACCAGGUGAGAUGAGCAGCAACGGGAUGACAGUGAUGAUCUGGUGAGGGGAUUUGUCUGAAAGUGGGCUGAGUUUGAGGAUUCCUCUGAGACAAGAGGAGAAGAUAAGAGGAAGAGCUCCCUAAAUGCUUGUAAGAAAGAACCCACAGUCACAGGCUUGGUGGUGUUUUCCAAAGCUGCCACACCUUCUGCUUUGGAAGUCAAAAAUGCAACCCCCAAGCACCACCAUAACUCCAGCUGCUGUAGUCUGAUAAAAGCAGUUACAAGGGACAUGUUAUUAAGCAGCAAUCAAAGUGCUAGAAGAUGGUGGGCUGGUACCUUUCAAAUGUGAGCCAUUUAAAACCAGUACUGCUGCUUCCAGUGCAAGCUUUGCUUGUACAAGUUUUAUAGUCCCAGUAGCAAUGCUAUCAACCUUGGCUGUAAUAAUGCUGAAAUUGUUGCUACCAUCAAUCUGUUUACUCCUCAGACCUAUUUAGCAGCCAGGGGAGUAACCCUGGAUGUUGGUUACCAGGCUGUUUUUUUCCUAAAUGGGUAAAUACCAGUGCUGAAAAGAGCAAAAACUGAUUUCCAAUUUCAAUUAUACACACUUUUUCUUUAAAAAAGCAAACCAAUUUAAAUUCCAAACGAUUACAACUUGUAUGAAUUCCAAAGUUUUAAAAAAGCUCUUAAAAUGAUGUAGAUACAGUACCAUGAUUUCAGAUGGUUCAUUUUUGCUGUUGGAGUUGUAAAUUCUAGACACUGAGCCAGCAGCAUCACUAGUUCAACAUCCGGAACCAGAAUGGUGGAGCUGCCAGAGAGGCUCUUGCCACCUGCAUCUCCCCCUUCAUGUGCUUCCCUCAGUCAGUUUGUUCAGCUAAUUCAGCUCAGUCACUUGUACAUUCCAAGUUAAGAAAUCAGAGAUUUGAGCAUCCCUGAUUUAGAGAGGUU